CACAAAUUUACUUAUCUCAUCCAUGACAGUAUGAAAGUGAUUGUUAUUGGGCAACAAGUAGAAGCCAAUUGUUGCUUGCUCAAGAUAUAGAAGUUUCACAACUUGGCCAGCCUUCUUUAGCCCCUCAACAUAAGCCAAUUGCCAAUCCUGAAUAAGGUCCAAACCAGCCACCACAACAAGACUCUUAGGGAAUUUCACUCCUUUAAGGUUUUUACCUUUGGGACCAAAUGGAUUACAUGCUGGAUGAUCCCUAUC
rnacentral:misc_RNA from 1 species